UACGUAGGGGCAAGCGUUGUCCGGAUUUAUUGGGCGUAAAGAGCGUGUAGGCGGCCUGGCAAGUCCGCUGUGAAAACUCGAGGCUUAACCUCGAGACGUCGGUGGAAACUGCCUGGCUAGAGUCCGGAAGAGGAGAGUGGAAUUCCUGGUGUAGCGGUGAAAUGCGCAGAUAUCAGGAAGAACACCCGUGGCUAAGGCGGCUCUCUAGUACGGUACUGACGCUGAGACGCGAAAGCGUGGGGAGCGAACAGG
rnacentral:rRNA from 1 species